ensembl:snRNA U6 U6 spliceosomal RNA
GUGCUUGUUUGGGCAGCACAUGUACUAAAACUGGUACGAUACAGAGAAGAUUAGCAUGUCCCCUGUGCAAGGAUAAUACACAAAUUUGUGAAGCAUUCCAUAUUUUA